rnacentral:rRNA from 1 species
UGGGGAAUAUUGGACAAUGGACCGAGAGUCUGAUCCAGCANUUCUGUGUGCACGAUGACGUUUUUCGGAAUGUAAAGUGCCUUCAGUUGGGAAGAAAAAAAUGACGGUACCAACAGAAGAAGUGACGGCUAAAUACGUGCCAGCAGCCGCGGUAAUACGUAUGUCACGAGCGUUAUCCGGAUUUAUUGGGCGUAAAGCGCGUCUAGGUGGUUAUGUAAGUCUGAUGUGAAAAUGCAGGGCUCAACUCUGUAUUGCGUUGGAAACUGUGUAACUAGAGUACUGGAGAGGUAAGCGGAACUACAAGUGUAGAGGUGAAAUUCGUAGAUAUUUGUAGGAAUGCCGAUGGGGAAGCCAGCUUACUGGACAGAUACUGACGCUGAAGCGCGAAAGCGUGGGUAGCAAACAGGAUUAGAUACCCUGGUAGUCCACGCCGUAAACGAUGAUUACUAGGUGUUGGGGGUCGAACCUCAGCGCCCAAGCAAACGCGAUAAGUAAUCCGCCUGGGGAGUACGUGCGCAAGUAUG